UACGUAGGGGGCGAGCGUUGUCCGGAUUUACUGGGCGUAAAGCGCGUGUAGGCGGAAGCCUAAGUCCGAUCUGAAAGCCCCUGGCUCAACCAGGGAUCCGGACCGGAAACUGGGCUUCUUGAGGACGGCAGGGGAGUGUGGAAUUCCUGGUGUAGCGGUGAAAUGCGCAGAUAUCAGGAGGAACACCAAUAGCGAAGGCAGCUCGCUGGGACGGUACUGACGCUAAGGCGCGAAAGCGUGGGGAGCGAACAGG
rnacentral:rRNA from 1 species